GUUCUCUUCGUGGACCGGGGUCGUCGUUCUCCUCCUUAGAGGGCUCAGGCUGUAACGUAGGAUCACACUUCACCUUUAACUGUGGUUUUUGUUCUUACUUUCAGAUGACUGGUGGCAGUGGAAAACGAUGACUGGUAGCAGUGGAAACGAUGACUGGCAGCAGUGGAAACGAUGACUGGCAGCAGUGGAAACGAUGACUGGCAGCAGUGGAAACGCUGGUGACUAGUAGAGGGGCACGGAGGGCAAGCCCUGCGGUGGUCUUCCUUUCCAGGGCUUGAAUGUUGCCGGGGAGAUACUGCGGUCACUGUCGAGCCGAACGCUGCCUUCUCCUGCUUAUGCGUGGACUCUGGACAGGGGCGCACCUUUGAAGAGGCUCCGUGACAGGUAAUUAUUAACUUCAGCAGUGUGAUAACUUUACCCACAGAUACAUCAACAUUCAGAAUUUUACUCACAAGCAGUCUCAAUAUCCUGUACCCUCUCUCUUCACUGUCACCACUGGGGUGUACGCCGUCGAACCCGGGAACCUGCAGUGUCUCACUAGUUCACCAAAACCGUAUCACUACACGGCGUAAUAUGGACAGGCACUUCACUCGCCACACCGCAUCUUCUUUGUUCUAACUGACAACAGGUACACAGCACUUCACUGCAAUACAAUCACGUGUGCACACUCACUCUGUAAAAUCCAGACUCACCCACAACACACUUCGGUGAACAUUAAGGCCAGGCAAGGGUCUUCGGGGAGCCGGUCCAAGAAUCUGCGGGGCGUUAACGUGAAGGAAGCCAGAGAUUGAGACGUAGCCGUAGCGAUAUCCUUUGCUCCUAAUGCUAUUUAGUCCUCGGCUCACCCACCAAACAACUCUGCAAUGGGGCCGCUGCUAUGGUUGCUGUGAACUCAUACACACGUAUAUCCUGAUAUCUUCAACAUACACACAUCAGUAUACACCUCUCAUACUCACGAAGAAGGAUCACACUUUCUCUCUUCUCAGAGAGAGUAAAAGAAGGGCAAUAUCACUAUAGAUUUAACUUCUGCACAAACCAUCAGAACUCUAAGAAUCACCUUAAUUAAAAGGGGCAAUAACUUUUUACAGCGAAUGAACAAGCGAUACUUGCAUUGGCUGUUGUGAGGCACGUGUGUACGUCCAGCUGUAUGGGCGCGUAUGCGAGGAAGAGAGUUCCUGAGUUUGUGGGCACAUGACGGAAUCCUUGGAGGUGUCCGUAGGAGUUGAAGUUUAAGUCUAAGUGGCAGGGUACCCGAAACUAGAGGGAUAGGGGUCCCACAGCCGGAAGCUGAGCUAUAGCUAUAUCGUUGAGAACUAUAGGCCAACUGUGAGCUGUGAUGAAUUGAGGUGCAGGCCUCUUAACCUGAGCUUAGGGCCAACCCCUUGAAGUUCAGAUGACCAAUCCAAAAGGGUGUUAAUCGAGCAGGGAAACUUUGUCUUUGUUUCACCAGACUCAUUUGCAUAGAUGUGCUAUGCCAGGGAUUUGUUACAAUAAUAAUUUGGAUUAAUAUUGAACAAGUUUGAUAUAAGUUAUGGUAAGAUGAUGCACAUCAUUGAUCAGGAAAGGAAAAGGGGAUUAUUUAGAGUGUAAACAAGGUAUGGUUGAACACACAUCAAAUAGUAAUCUCAUAGAUGUGAAUUAUGAGACAUGCUAAGAUAAGCAAAGCAUCCCUAUAGUGUUACAAGGAAGUGGUACAUUACAGAUACAAACAUGCAAUACAAGGAUAUAUAAUAUAUACAAUUUAAACCAAUUUAUUUUGGUCUUAGCUGUGAUCUACUACAGACACAUUUUUGUGUCAUGGCUGCUUCGUCUCUGGCCACGGUUUGAAGUUUGCUUUGAGGUGUUAAUUUGCUUAGAUUGGCACAAUAAAACAGUCAGAGGGAGUCGAUAGGUCUGGAAAUGUGUGUUAUCAGGAGAUUAGGAUCUUCUGAUGAAAGAGUCCGAGCAGACCUGGUGACAAAACUCAUUCUAGGGUCACAGCAUGAAACCGUUAACGACCCAGACUGAAGAGACCUCCAGUUGACGUCCAGCCAGAUGUUACACCAUCCAAACAGACAUUUUGUUGUUUGACAUGUUGUUUGAUGUUGUUUGCAUAGAAUGCACAAAUUGAGCCUGA